UGGGGAAUAUUGCACGAUGGACGGAAGUCUGAUGCAGCAACGCCGCGUGCGGGAUGACGGCCUUCGGGUUGUAAACCGCUUUUUCUCAUGACGAAGUUUUUUGACGGUAGUGGGGGAAGAAGCACCGGCUAACUACGUGCCAGCAGCCGCGGUGAUACGUAGGGUGCGAGCGUUGUCCGGAAUUAUUGGGCGUAAAGAGCUUGUAGGCGGUUUGUCGCGUCGAUAGUGCAAACUCAGUGCUUAACGCUGAGCCUGCUGUUGAUACGGGCAGACUAGAGGAAGGUAGGGGAGAAUGGAAUUCCCGGUGGAGCGGUGGAAUGCGCAGAUAUCGGGAGGAACACCGGUGGCGAAGGCGGUUCUCUGGGCCUUUCCUGACGCUGAGAAGCGAAAGCGUGGGGAGCGAACAGG
rnacentral:rRNA from 1 species